rnacentral:piRNA from 1 species
GUAUGGAUACCUGCAGGCAGAACACUAUAU